rnacentral:rRNA from 1 species
AACGAACGCUGGCGGCAGGCUUAACACAUGCAAGUCGAACGCAUCCUUCGGGGUGAGUGGCAGACGGGUGAGUAACGCGUGGGAACGUGCCCUUCAGUUCGGAAUAACCCAGGGAAACUUGGGCUAAUACCGGAUACGUGCGAGAGCAGAAAGAUUUAUCGCUGAAGGAUCGGCCCGCGUCUGAUUAGCUAGUUGGUGAGGUAAUGGCUCACCAAGGCGACGAUCAGUAGCUGGUCUGAGAGGAUGAUCAGCCACAUUGGGACUGAGACACGGCCCAAACUCCUACGGGAGGCAGCAGUGGGGAAUAUUGGACAAUGGGCGCAAGCCUGAUCCAGCCAUGCCGCGUGAGUGAUGAAGGCCUUAGGGUUGUAAAGCUCUUUCGUCCGGGACGAUAAUGACGGUACCGGAAGAAGAAGCCCCGGCUAACUUCGUGCCAGCCGCCGCUGUAA